rnacentral:rRNA from 1 species
AAUAAACGCUGGCGGCAUGCCUAACACAUGCAAGUCGAACGAACGAGGAGGAGCUUGCUCCUCCAAGUAAGUGGCAGACGGGUGAGUAACGCGUGGGCAAUCUACCUUCAAGUGGGGGAUACCAUUCCGAAAGGGGUGUUAAUACCGCAUAAGACCACGGCCUCGGAUGAGGAAGGGGUCAAAGCCUGGGAUCUUCGGACCAGGCGCUGGAAGAGGAGCUCGCGUCCGAUUAGCUUGUUGGUGGGGUAAAGGCCUACCAAGGCGACGAUCGGUAGCCGGCCUGAGAGGGUGAUCGGCCACACUGGAACUGAGACACGGUCCAG